CAUCAGAUGACUGAAAGCAA
rnacentral:tRNA from 4 species